AUAUUGUAAAUAUUGAAAAUAUUGUAAACAAUGUAGCCUAAUUGGCUAGCUCAUCACAGUCAAGGGGGUAAGCGAACAUUCGGAAACCGUCACUUUAACAGCGAGUAACUUUACAUCUGAAGCGUUGUAAACCUUUAAAGGGACACCAGGCAACGUAAUUGUGUUAAUUAUGUGCUAAGUUUGCUUUGGGAACAAAUAUAAUUGAGUAAAAAUGAA